rnacentral:rRNA from 2 species
GAGGAAAAGAAAAUAACAAUGAUUUCCCUAGUAACGGCGAGUGAAGAGGAAAGAGCUCAAAGUUGGAACCUGUUUGACCUAGCUAAAUCCGGAUUGUAGACUGUAGAAGUGUUUUCCAGGCAAGCCGAGUAAAUAAGUCCUUUGGAACAGGGCAUCAUAGAGGGUGAGAAUCCCGUCUUUGGCUUGAGCAUUUGCCUUUUGUGAUACGCUUUCAAAGAGUCAGGUUGUUUGGGAAUGCAGCCUAAAUUGGGUGGUAAAUCUCACCUAAAGCUAAAUAUUGGCGAGAAACCGAUAGCGAACAAGUACCGUGAGGGAAAGAUGAAAAGAACUUUGAAAAGAGAGUUAAACAGUAUGUGAAAUUGUUAAAAGGGAACCGUUUGGAGCCAGACUGGCUUGUCUGUAAUCAAUCUAGGCUUCGGCCUGGAUGCACUUGCAGGCUAUGCCUGCCAACGACAAUUUGACUUGAGGGAAAAAACUAAGGGAAAUGUGGCCCACUUGUGGGUGUUAUAGUCCCUUAGAAAAUACCUUGGGUUGGAUUGAGGAACGCAGCGAAUGCUUUUUGGCGAGUUUUCCAGGAAGGUUUCCUGAGGUACUACGGUAUCAAGGUUGAUCUUUUUGGUUAUACUUCUAUUCGCUUAGGUUGUUGGCUUAAUGACUCUAAAUGACCC